rnacentral:rRNA from 1 species
UACGGGGGGGGCAAGCGUUGUUCGGAAUUACUGGGCGUAAAGGGCUCGUAGGUGGCCAACUAAGUCAGACGUGAAAUCCCUCGGCUUAACCGGGGAACUGCGUCUGAUACUGGAUGGCUUGAGUUCGGGAGAGGGAUGCGGAAUUCCAGGUGUAGCGGUGAAAUGCGUAGAUAUCUGGAGGAACACCGAUGGCGAAGGCAGCCCCCUGGGCCAAUACUGACGCUCAGGCACGAAAGCGUGGGGAGCAAACAGG